GGGGAUGACUGGCUUUGACAGCGAGAUGAAUAGGUUUGUAAGCAUGCCGAGCAUGGUGAGACGGCUCGUAAAUAUCCAAUUCACAUUUUUUUAAACGGCGAGUCUAACUACGCUUUAGCUGCCUAAUCUAGGAUUAGAACAGCUUUUGCUCCGAGGAUAGAAGAAGGUUUAUCGCUUCCGUCCCACUGAGCAUCAAGAAAAGGAUGAACUAGCAAAUAAGGAUGCCUUGACUUAAACGCGAAAUUAAAAGGAUAAGGUUUGGUUUUGGGAAUGUCUUCUUCCCGACCUUACUCGAAAAUUAAUUGAGGACUAAGCAUGAAGAAAGCUUUCACAUUCCUUGUUUGGACCAGGGUUCGAUUCCCUGCAUCUCCACUA
rnacentral:tmRNA from 1 species